rnacentral:rRNA from 1 species
GACGAACGCUGGCGGCGUGCCUAAUACAUGCAAGUAGAACGCUGAAGAGAGGAGCUUGCUCUUCUUGGAUGAGUUGCGAACGGGUGAGUAACGCGUAGGUAACCUGCCUUGUAGCGGGGGAUAACUAUUGGAAACGAUAGCUAAUACCGCAUAACAAUGGAUGACACAUGUCAUUUAUUUGAAAGGGGCAAUUGCUCCACUACAAGAUGGACCUGCGUUGUAUUAGCUAGUAGGUGAGGUAACGGCUCACCUAGGCGACGAUACAUAGCCGACCUGAGAGGGUGAUCGGCCACACUGGGACUGAGACACGGCCCAGACUCCUACGGGAGGCAGCAGUAGGGAAUCUUCGGCAAUGGGGGCAACCCUGACCGAGCAACGCCGCGUGAGUGAAGAAGGUUUUCGGAUCGUAAAGCUCUGUUGUAAGUCAAGAACGAGUGUGAGAGUGGAAAGUUCACACUGUGACGGUAGCUUACCAGAAAGGGACGGCUAACUACGUGCCAGCAGCCGCGGUAAUACGUAGGUCCCGAGCGUUGUCCGGAUUUAUUGGGCGUAAAGCGAGCGCAGGCGGUUUGAUAAGUCUGAAGUUAAAGGCUGUGGCUCAACCAUAGUCCGCUUUGGAAACUGUCAAACUUGAGUGCAGAAGGGGAGAGUGGAAUUCCAUGUGUAGCGGUGAAAUGCGUAGAUAUAUGGAGGAACACCGGUGGCGAAAGCGGCUCUCUGGUCUGUAACUGACGCUGAGGCUCGAAAGCGUGGGGAGCGAACAGG